rnacentral:rRNA from 1 species
UACGUAGGCAGCAAGCGUUGUUCGGAGUUACUGGGCGUAAAGCGUGCGCAGGCGGUUUGCUAAGACCGAUGUGAAAUCCCCGGGCUUAACCUGGGAACUGCAUUGGUGACUGGCAAGCUAGAGUGUGGCAGAGGGGGGUAGAAUUCCACGUGUAGCAGUGAAAUGCGUAGAGAUGUGGAGGAAUACCGAUGGCGAAGGCAGCCCCCUGGGCCAACACUGACGCUCAUGCACGAAAGCGUGGGGAGCAAACAGG